rnacentral:rRNA from 1 species
AACGAACGCUGGCGGCAGGCUUAACACAUGCAAGUCGAACGCCCUAGCAAUAGGGAGUGGCGCACGGGUGAGUAACGCGUGGGAAUGUACCGUUUAGUGGGGGAUAACCAAGGGAAACUUUGGCUAAUACCGCAUACGCCCUUCGGGGGAAAGAUUUAUCGCUAAACGAUCAGCCCGCGUGAGAUUAGGUAGUUGGUGGGGUAACGGCCUACCAAGCCGACGAUCUCUAGCUGGUCUGAGAGGAUGAUCAGCCACACUGGAACUGAGACACGGUCCAGACUCCUACGGGAGGCAGCAGUGGGGAAUAUUGGACAAUGGGGGCAACCCUGAUCCAGCCAUGCCGCGUGAGUGAUGAAGGCCUUAGGGUUGUAAAGCUCUUUUACCGAUGAAGAUAAUGACGGUAGUCGGAGAAAAAGCCCCGGCUAACUUCGUGCCAGCAGCCGCCGCUG